rnacentral:rRNA from 1 species
AGUUGAUCCUGGCUCAGGAUGAACGCUGGCGGUGUGUUUUAGGCAUGCAAGUCGAGCGACGCACCUUCGGGUGACGGAGCGGCAGACGGGUGAGUAACGCGUAGGAAUCUACCUCUUGGUGGGGAAUAGUCCGCUGAAAGGCGGGGUAAUACCGCAUAAGUUCUCCGGAAGAAAGCGCAUAACUGCGCGCCGAGAGAGGAGCCUGCGUGCUAUCAGCUUGUUGGUGAGGUAAUGGCUCACCAAGGCUAUGACGGCUAGGGGGCGUGAGAGCGUGGCCCCCCACAAGGUCACUGAGACACGGGGCCUACAUCUACGGAUGGCAGCAACCAAGAAUAUUGCGCAAUGGGCGAAAGCCUGACGCAGCGACACCGCGUGUGGGAAGAAGCAUUUACGUGUGUAAACCACUGUGGCAGGGGAACAAGAUCUGAGGGUACCCUGCUAGAAAGGACCUGCUAACUACGUGCCAGAAGCCUCGGUAAUACGUAGGGUCCAAGCGUUAUCCGGAUUUACUGGGCGUAAAGCGUUCGUAGGCGGAUUAGUAAGUGGCGGGUUAAAGCCCACGGCUCAACUGUGGAUCAGCUCGUCAUACUGUUAGUCUGGAGUUAGUUCAGGAGGCUGGAAUUCUCGAUGGAGGGGUGAAAUCCGU